rnacentral:rRNA from 1 species
GAUGAACGCUGGCGGCGUGCCUAAUACAUGCAAGUCGAGCGAAAAGACGAGGAGCUUGCGCCUCUGACGUUAGCGGCGGGCGGGUGAGUAACACGUGGAUAACCUACUUAUAAGACUGGGAUAAUUUCGGGAAACGGGAGCUAAUACCGGAGAAUAUAUUGAACCGCAGGGGGCAAUGGAGAAAGACGGCUUUGGGGGCACGUAUAGAGGGAUCCGUGCCGGAUUGGCUGGUUGGGAAGGUAACGGCUUACCAAGGCGACGAUGCGUGUCCGAGCUGAGUGGGUGAUCGGCCACCCUGGAACUGAGACACGGUCCAGACUCCUACGGGAGGCAGCAGUAGGGAAUCUUCCGCAAUGGGCGAAAGCCUUACGCAGCAAGCCCGCGUGAGUGAUGACGGUCUUCGGAUCGUAAAACCCUGUUAUUGGGGAAGAACAACUGUGUAAUUAACCAUGCCCGUCUUGACGGUACCUAAUCAGAAAGCCCCGGCUAACUACGUG